rnacentral:lncRNA from 1 species
GGACUCUCACACGGACAGAGGCAUCACCUCCCAAAAGAAGUCCGUGUCAUAAAGGGUCCCUUGGUUGUGGGGUUUAAUGACAUGAAACUAUUCUAUUCACCUCCAGGGCUAAGGAAGUAUCUUUUGAUUUAUUGCACUGUUCUAAACACUAUGUAAUUAGAUGAGCUUGGAACUCUGCAAGGGGGGCAGUUUGUAGUGCAGAUCCGUUUCCCACUGAAGUGCAUGGAGGCUGCAGGAGCGGAGGUGAAGGGGAUGGAGGUGAGUAAGAGAGGGGAGUUCCCCUGCGGGGCCUUCAGACUCCAGCUGGGAUAAGGCGUGGUUGUGCUGGGCAGGGACCCUGCGCCUGUGCCCCGUCCUGCAGGCCAGCAAGUCGCCCUUCCUAGGAGGCAGUCUUCAGUCUACACUCUGCAAACAGCGCCCCCUGGAACCGUGCAACAUGAGGGUCCUGGCACUUUCGUGUACGAGUGUUUCUGAAAGAGGUGGAGUCUUUCUAUGUUGCCCAGGCUGGUCUCAAACUUCUGACUUCAAGUGAUCCUCCUGCGUUGGCCUCCCGAAGUGCUGGGAUUACAGUCGUAAACCACCACUCCUGGAUUAUCCUUUACUAAUUUCAUUCAUAGAUGAGAGAUUGGGAGAAGAAAGAGGAAACUGCCACUUAUUUUCCACAUAAGUGUCAUCUUCAAGGUGGAGCGAAAGAUGACAUUGCUGGUGAGAUGUUCAGCACUCUUUGGUCACGUUGGAAAAAAAUUGUAUUCGGUUGUCAGAGAUGAAGAAUUGUUAAAAACAAAAUCUUUUUUAUUCCUCCUAAAGACAUUACAGCUCACAAAAUCUCUGAUAGCUUCCUGUAGCAUGUAUUUUACUAUUCAAGGAGACAAUUGAAUGGGUUUAUUUCUUCUUAUGUUACAUCUCAGCUUUAAUAAGUAAUGUCUGGCUGGGUGCGGCGGCUCAUGCCUGUAAUCCCGGCACUUUGGGAGGCAGAGGCGGGAAGAUCACCAGAGGUCCGGAGUUCAAGACUAGCCUGGCCAACAUGGUGAAACCCCGUUUCUACUAAAAAUACAAAAAUAAAAUUAAAAUAAAAAUAGGUGAUGUCUUUGAGCUAAUUUAUGCUCUCCAUACCUUAUGAUCAUCUAGCUGUGUGUUGGCAAGUCCAGGAUGGUGGCUUUUGACGAACUGUGCUUUAAGGCAAACCAUGGAGUAGAGAAAGAUGGACAGCAGAGGAUUUGGGGCUUUAAUGGGCACACAGCCUGCUUAGGAGGAAGCUCAUUAGUCUGGAGCUCCUGCCCCUUGUCUUUGUGAAGCCAUUACUGGUCCCCUGGUAUGCUGCUCAUAGGCAAGGCAAAAGAAAUUUAUAGGAAUCAAAGCUUAUAGAAACAGCAACAACUUUAAGAGUCAGUUUGUUUAACCAAAUUAAAAUUGUUCUUUUUUUCUUCCUCCAUUCCCAGAAGUGCAUUUCUAUUUCCACUGAGUUAAUAAAG